UAGGGAAUCUUCGGCAAUGGGGGGAACCCUGACCGAGCAACGCCGCGUGAGUGAAGAAGGUUUUCGGAUCGUAAAGCUCUGUUGUUAAGGAAGAACGAGUGUGAGAAUGGAAAGUUCAUACUGUGACGGUACUUAACCAGAAAGGGACGGCUAACUACGUGCCAGCAGCCGCGGUAAUACGUAGGUCCCGAGCGUUGUCCGGAUUUAUUGGGCGUAAAGCGAGCGCAGGCGGUUAGAUAAGUCGAAUGUUAAAGAUCGGGGCUCAACCCCGUAAAGCAUUGGAAACUGAUAAACUUGAGUAGUGGAGAGGAAAGUGGAAUUCCUAGUGUAGUGGUGAAAUACGUAGAUAUUAGGAGGAAUACCAGUAGCGAAGGCGACUUUCUGGACACAAACUGACGCUGAGGUACGAAAGCGUGGGGAGCAAACAGG
rnacentral:rRNA from 1 species